rnacentral:rRNA from 1 species
AACGAACGCUGGCGGCAGGCCUAACACAUGCAAGUCGAGCGCGCCUUUCGGGGUGAGCGGCGGACGGGUUAGUAACGCGUGGGAACGUACCCUUUUCUGCGGAAUAGCCUCUGGAAACGGAGAGUAAUACCGCAUACGCCCUUUGGGGGAAAGAUUUAUCGGAGAAGGAUCGGCCCGCGUUAGAUUAGAUAGUUGGUGGGGUAACGGCUUACCAAGUCUACGAUCUAUAGCUGGUUUUAGAGGAUGAUCAGCAACACUGGGACUGAGACACGGCCCAGACUCCUACGGGAGGCAGCAGUGGGGAAUCUUGGACAAUGGGCGCAAGCCUGAUCCAGCCAUGCCGCGUGAGUGAAGAAGGCCUUAGGGUCGUAAAGCUCUUUCGCCUGUGAUGAUAAUGACA